UGCAUAUGAUGCGUUUUUCUCACGAUGGUCUUCCAAGCCUGUUGUGCUCUGACGACGCUGCCCGAUGGCGUUUACUGAUGCGGCUGU
ensembl:snoRNA